rnacentral:rRNA from 1 species
GAUGAACGCUGGCGGCGUGCCUAAUACAUGCAAGUCGAGCGAACAGAUGAGGAGCUUGCUCCUCUGACGUUAGCGGCGGACGGGUGAGUAACACGUGGAUAACCUACCUAUAAGACUGGGAUAACUUCGGGAAACCGGAGCUAAUACCGGAUAAUAUAUUGAACCGCAUGGUUCAAUAGUGAAAGACGGUUUUGCUGUCACUUAUAGAUGGAUCCGCGCCGCAUUAGCUAGUUGGUAAGGUAACGGCUUACCAAGGCAACGAUGCGUAGCCGACCUGAGGGGAUGAUCGGCCACAUGGGAACGAGGCCACGUCCGGACCACCUGCGGGAGGCAGAGGUAGGGAGUUGUCGGGAAUGGGCGAAGGCCGUACAGGACCCCCCCGCGUGAGGGAGGAAGGUCUUGGGAUCUAAAAGCUUAUUUUUGAGGAAUAAAAAAGUAUGUAAUAAACGCUCCGCGGCUUGAGGUGGCUUAAUCAGAAACCCACGCCUACCUACGUC